rnacentral:rRNA from 1 species
UAGGGAAUAUUGCACAAUGGGCGAAAGCCUGAUGCAGCAACGCCGCGUGUGCGAUGAAGGCCUUCGGGUCGUAAAGCACUUUUAUGAGAGAUGAGUAAGGACAGUAUCUCAGGAAUAAGUCUCGGCUAACUACGUGCCAGCAGCCGCGGUAAAACGUAGGAGGCGAGCGUUAUCCGGAUUCACUGGGCGUAAAGCGCGUGCAGGCGGUUCGGUAAGUUGGGCGUGAAAUCUCCUGGCUUAACUAGGAGAGGUCGUUCAAUACUACCGGACUUGAGAAUGAUAGAGGAAGAUGGAAUUCCCGGUGUAGUGGUGAAAUGCGUAGAUAUCGGGAGGAACACCAGUGGCGAAAGCGAUCUUCUGGAUCAUUUCUGACGCUCAGACGCGAAAGCUAGGGUAGUAAA